AGCUUUGCACAGUGGCAGUAUCGUAGCCAAUGAGGUUUAUCUGAGGUGCAAUUAUUGCUAAUUGAAAACUUUUCCCAAUACUCUGCCAUGACAACUACAAUAUAGUUGGAAAUACUAUAAUAUAGGAAAUAGAGUUGGCAUUGGCAAUUUUUGGCAGUCUGUAUAGG
rnacentral:snRNA from 1 species